rnacentral:miRNA from 8 species
CCGCCUGGGCGGUGCCUUCAGGACUGUCCAACCUGAGAAUGGUGAGCAUCCAGGGACAAUCUCAGGUUUGUCAGCCCGCAAGGUGCCGUCCCCUCCCCAGCA